rnacentral:rRNA from 1 species
UACAGAGGGUGCGAGCGUUGUUCGGAAUUAUUGGGCGUAAAGGGCGCGUAGGCGGUGCGGUAAGUCACCUGUGAAAUCUCCUGGCUCAACUGGGAGCUUGCAGGCGAAACUGCCGUGCUGGAGUGUGGGAGAGGUGCGUGGAAUUCCUGGUGUAGCGGUGAAAUGCGUAGAUAUCAGGAGGAACACCUGUGGCGAAAGCGGCGCACUGGACCACAACUGACGCUGAAGCGCGAAAGCUAGGGGAGCAAACAGG